rnacentral:sRNA from 1 species
GCAGAGAAGAAAUGGUGGCCUGCAUCUC